ACUCCUACGGGAGGCAGCAGUGGGGAAUAUUGGACAAUGGGGGCAACCCUGAUCCAGCCAUGCCGCGUGUGUGAAGAAGGCUUUCGGGUUGUAAAGCACUUUCAGUGGUGAGGAAGGGGUCAGUGUUAAUAGCACUGAUCAUUGACGUUAGCCACAGAAGAAGCACCGGCUAACUCCGUGCCAGCAGCCGCGGUAAUACGGAGGGUGCAAGCGUUAAUCGGAAUUACUGGGCGUAAAGGGCGCGUAGGCGGUUUGAUAAGCGAGAUGUGAAAGCCCCGGGCUUAACCUGGGAACGGCAUUUCGAACUGUCAGGCUAGAGUGCAGUAGAGGGUAGUGGAAUUUCCGGUGUAGCGGUGAAAUGCGUAGAUAUCGGAAGGAACACCAGUGGCGAAGGCGACUACCUGGACUGACACUGACGCUGAGGUGCGAAAGCGUGGGUAGCAAACAGGAUUAGAAACCCCAGUAGUCC
rnacentral:rRNA from 1 species